AGCAUGUCCAACCCUACUCCAAACUCCAUUUUGCAGUAAAAUCAUCUCCAACCACACUCCAAAACCCACUCCAAAAUGGAGUAAUAGACAUGAUUACUCCAAAUAUGGAGUAAACCAACUCAUUACUCCAAAAUGGAGUUGAACAUUUUUAUUUAUAAAAUGGUCCUCCACCUUUAAAUAUUUUCAUUUUCAGUAAAAUUGUUAUAAAUAAGUAUAUUAAUAUUAUUUUACUAUAUAUAUUAUAAAAUUUACUGUUAACAUUUCUUAAUUAUAUAUAUAGGCAUCUAAUAAACUAUUUUAUGCAACAAAAUAUAUAUAGUAUAAAACAUAACAGAUCAUACAUAUAAAAAAUAAAAGAUAAGCAUCAUACAAAAGAAAUAACAUAAAAUAAAUCUUACAAUAAAGAUAAUUGCUUAAUAAUCCGGUAAAUCACCUCUGGAUCCAUUAAAGUUAUUAAAAUAUUGUCCAAACGAUGUAGAUGGAGGAGGAGCUUGCUGAGCUUGUUGCUGAAGACUUCGAUUUUGUAAUAAUGCGAGAUUGUAGGAAAUAAUAAUGCGAGAUUCCAAGAGUUUCUUUCCCGUUUCAGAAAAAUCAAAGAUAAAGAAGCUCGUUUUUUACUUCGAAAUGCAUUAGUUGAUCAUUUGUGGAAAAAUUAUACUAAUUCUAAUGAAUAAUUUAAGUUGAUGUAUUAUUGUGUUUAAGCUAUGUAAUGUAAUUUUUAAUGUAAUAAAUAUUUUCUUUAUAAACCUUGUCGAGUAUUUAUAUAAUAAAAAAUUAAUUGUGGUUAAUAUUGUAUUUAAUAUAAUUAUUACAAUCUGAAAAUGGACUGUUUUGCAAAUAAUAUAAAUGAAAGGUGAUAUUACUAAUUUAUAAAAUAUAAAAUAUUAGGAAUAUUCUAUUUUGGAGUGGGAAAUGGAGUAAUACAUUGGAGUAAAACUUAACUCUAUUUUGGAGUUACUCCAUUUUAGAGUAGAAAAUGGAGUAAUACAUUGGAGAUGCUUUUACGCAUAAAAAGUCAAAGAUGAAGGGGUUGUUUUUGCCGAUCGGAGGAGCAUUCGUGCUUGCCGACGUAAGCGAGAUUCAAUUCUUGAGUUAUCACCAGUUGUAAAACGUAUGAUCAGGACGGCUAUAGAUCGUGAUAGACUCAUGAAUGGGUUUAUGAAGCAUGGACCAUUUGAUUCAGUGAAGAAGAGAGUAUGAAGCAUGUACCAUUUGAUCCAGUGAAGGUGUGUGAGCUUCAUCCACAGGGUGUUGUUCUUAUAAGAUUCAAGGAUCACAAAGAUGCUCAGAAAUGUAUAGAUGCAAUGAACGGUCGAUGGUAUGCAAAGAGAGAUACAUGCGAGCCUUGACGGUGGAUCAGUGAACCACGCUGCGGUUCGUGACUUUGAUUCAGAAGCCGAACGGUUAGAUCAGUUUGCAGCUGAGCUCGAAGCUGAAUAGAAGAGAAACAAAAUCACAAUAAAUCUAAAAGCUCUUUUGUAGAAUACACGAUGUUAGUUGUUCAGAGGUUUCAAGUAUAACCAUAUUUUUUUCAUUUUUUGUUGUUGAAAACUAACUUUUUCUUCAGGUAGUAAAACAAAUAUGUCCCUAUUGAUAUAUGAAUAUAAGGUAAGCUUCUCAAUUAUCUAGACCUUCGUACUCACUCACCAGCUCAGGUAGGAGCUUAGCAUACAUGUCGCUCCACAGUUUCUUCUGAUUCGCCAUGUGGGCACACCUCAUCAACCUCAAUUGGUUCAACGAGUAUCUUUGACUAAACUCAUUAAAAUAUGAAAUAUAAUCUUACAAGACUUGGUCGCCAAACCAUUCAUCUUCCUAAUUAGGCAGAGUAUCAACCUCAAUAAUAUCUUUAAACUUCUAUAAUUUUAUUAAAAUAUAAAAUCUAUAUAAAAUAGUCACAUUUAAAAAUCAUUAUUAAAAUAACUUCAAAGCUGUGUCCUUCUGUUUUACUUUUUAGCCGUUUUACAAUUUACUAGAUCUUUUCUCCGCGCUACGCGCGGAUAAUAUAUUUAAAGUUGUUACAUUUAUCAUUUUUAUUUGUAUAUGAAUUUUUAUAUAUUAAAUUAUAUAUAACUAAUUUUAAAUUUG